AGUGAACGCUGGCGGUAGGCCUAACACAUGCAAGUCGAACGGCAGCACAGUAAGAGCUUGCUCUUACGGGUGGCGAGUGGCGGACGGGUGAGGAAUACAUCGGAAUCUACUUUUUCGUGGGGGAUAACGUAGGGAAACUUACGCUAAUACCGCAUACGACCUACGGGUGAAAGCAGGGGAUCUUCGGACCUUGCGCGAUUGAAUGAGCCGAUGUCGGAUUAGCUAGUUGGCGGGGUAAAGGCCCACCAAGGCGACGAUCCGUAGCUGGUCUGAGAGGAUGAUCAGCCACACUGGAACUGAGACACGGUCCAGACUCCUACGGGAGGCAGCAGUGGGGAAUAUUGGACAAUGGGCGCAAGCCUGAUCCAGCCAUACCGCGUGGGUGAAGAAGGCCUUCGGGUCGUAAAGCCCUUUUGUUGGGAAAGAAAAGCAGCAGGUUAAUACCCCGCUAUUCUGACGGUACCCAAAGAAUAAGCACCGGCUAACUUCGUG
rnacentral:rRNA from 1 species